AGACUUUAUGUUAAAACUAGUAUAGAAGAGAACUUUUUUUACAUGCAAGUGUAAUCAGAUAGGACAUCCAUGAUAAUUAACACCAAUGAACAAAAGUAGUAACUCAACAAGAAACCUACUACAUUUUAUGUUAAUCUAACACCAGAGCAUUACAAGAAAGAUUAAAAGAAAGAGAAGGAACUCGGCAAAUAUUAACCUCGCCUGUUUACCAAAAACAUCGCCUCUUGAAAUAAAUAUAAGAGGUCCAGCCUGCCCAGUGACUCUGUUCAACGGCCGCGGUAUCCUAACCGUGCGAAGGUAGCGUAAUCACUUGUUCUUUAAAUGAGGACUAGUAUGAAUGGCACCACGAAGGUUAUACUGUCUCCUCUUUCCAAUCAGUGAAACUAAUCUCUCCGUGAAGAAGCGGGGAUAAACAUAUAAGACGAGAAGACCCUAUGGAGCUUUAAACUACACAACAUCUGCUCUGACCCACUUAAAUUUCAGAAAAAUCUCCUUCACCUCUGCAGAAUGAUUGCCAGUUUUAGGUUGGGGUGACCGCGGAGCAAAAAACAACCUCCACAUUGAAAGGGGCUUACCCCUUAGCCAAGAGCCACACCUCCACACACCAAUAAAAUGACAUUAAUUGACCCAAUAUAUUGAUCAACGAACCAAGUUACCCUAGGGAUAACAGCGCAAUCCACGUUAAGAGCCCCGAUCGACAAGUGGGCACGACCUCGAUGUUGGAUCAGGGUAUCCCGGUGGUGCAGCCGCUACCA
rnacentral:rRNA from 1 species